rnacentral:rRNA from 1 species
GUCGAACGGUAGAGGGGGCAACCCCUCGAGAGUGGCGAACGGGUGAGUAAUAUAUCGGAACGUGCCCAGUCGUGGGGGAUAACGUAGCGAAAGUUACGCUAAUACCGCAUACGAUCUACGGAUGAAAGCGGGGGAUCGCAAGACCUCGCGCGAUUGGAGCGGCCGAUAUCAGAUUAGGUAGUUGGUGAGGUAAAGGCUCACCAAGCCAACGAUCUGUAGCUGGUCUGAGAGGACGACCAGCCACACUGGAACUGAGACACGGUCCAGACUCCUACGGGAGGCAGCAGUGGGGAAUUUUGGACAAUGGACGCAAGUCUGAUCCAGCCAUUCCGCGUGCAGGAUGAAGGCCCUCGGGUUGUAAACUGCUUUUGUACGGAACGAAAAGGUCUCUCUUAAUACGGGGGGCUCAUGACGGUACCGUAAGAAUAAGCACCGGCUAACUACGUGCCAGCAGCCGCGGUAAUACGGAGGGAGCUAGCGUUGUUCGGAAUUACUGGGCGUAAAGCGUGCGCAGGCGGUUUUGUAAGACAGGCGUGAAAUCCCCGGGCUCAACCUGGGAAUGGCGCUUGUGACUGCAAAGCUGGAGUGCGGCGGAGGGGGAUGGAAUUCCGCGUGUAGCAGUGAAAUGCGUAGAUAUGCGGAGGAACACCGAUGGCGAAGGCAAUCCCCUGGGCCUGCACUGACGCUCAUGCACGAAAGCGUGGGGAGCAAACAGGAUUAGAUACCCUGGUAGUCCACGCCCUAAACGAU